rnacentral:misc_RNA from 1 species
CAUAAUAGUCAUCAAUUUCAGCUUCUAUUCUUUAAAUUGUAUUCCAUAAUUCAUCUAAUUGCUCCUUGGAACCUUUAUUUUCAGCCCACAACAUUGAAUUCUAAUCAGAAAAUCAUACCUCGCUGAAACAAUGCAAAUUUCAGUCAUUUGGAAUCAGGAUGUCAACAUUAGAUAGGCAGGAUUGUCAUUUUUUUUUUCCUGGUCUGGUAGUAAUGAUGUGGCGCUGAUGGCUGAUGUGGUGAUGAUAUGGCACUUUCUGCUGAUGUGGCACUAUGUGACAGGUGACGUUAACGAUGACUUGGCAGGGUAUACAAUAAAUUAGGUCAGGCAAGGGCAGCAUUGAUGGCUUAGUGAAGGGACUGUCAGUGCUAGGUUUCUCUCAAUGGUUCUGUUUCUUUGAAUUAAUAACAGACUGAAGGUAGAAAUUUAAGGAGGGUAGAAGGAAAUUUGGGACGACGCAGUGGAAGGGUGGGAUUUUAGAAGGCAAGAACACAAGUUUGAAGGUUUGAAAGUUUGCAGAAGCUAAAGAAAUUUGGAUUGAUUUUGAGCUCUGAUGCCAAUAUUGAUGUAGAACAAAUAAGAACAGAGAACAGAAUAAGGAUCAAUCAUUGAAAUAGAGAACUAAUUCUUAA